rnacentral:lncRNA from 1 species
ACUUGUCACACUUCCAUCAAACAGUACCUGCCCCUUAGGUGUGCUAGGGAAUAAAUGAAAUGCCUGGGACAUCAUCGUUAAGUGGCAUCUGAUGCAUAAGCAGUGCCCUAGGAAUGGGGUUGCCUGCCUUGGUCUCUAAAGGAUGGGUUCAAAAGGCAAGAGCAGCACACAAGAAGAUAGCUUCAAGCAGGAGAUAAAGCUUGGCCCAGGGCCCAAAGGGGAUACGACCCUUCAGGUUGGCCCUGACCUCUGGGUUGGAUUACCAGUGACACAAUGAACAUUUCAUUAUGAGGCCAUCCCUUGAGCAAACUGACAUGCUGAAAGCUGCCCUAUGGAGAGGCUCAUGUGGCAAGGAACAGAGGGUGGCUUCUGGCCAACACCCAGUGAGGAACUCAGGCCCUCAGUCAAACAGCCUGCAAGGAACUGAACCCUGCCAAUAACCAGGCAGUGUCAGCCCCCGGCCAAUGACCACCAUGGACCUCCCUGUAGUUGAACAAAGUUGGGUUUGCUGACUGGUGGCAGUGAGGGAGAAUGCACACCACAGGGAGCUGUGCAGUGUCUCAGUAAGAAGCCAGGAGCCAUCCCGUGAGGCCGUUACUGCAAACAAGCUGAAAAUCCUGCUUUGUUUCUUUUGGACACAACAUGCUUUCCUUCAGCUUCAGUAGACGAUGAGGCCAGCACCACAUGGGCUAGAUGUACAUGAGAUGUGAGCAACCACACUUCCCCUCUGACGGGGACAGACAGCAUCACAGGACAUGAAGUUCUAAGAGGUUCAGUGACUUGUCUAAGAUUAAACAGCUAUGAAUGGAGAACUGGAGGCAAAUGCCUCAUCAUCUCUCACCUGGGCAACUGCAACAAUGAGCAGUUUGUGUCUGUGCCUGCAUCCAUCCUUCCAUCCUGUACUCCAGCAGCAGCCAGGGUGGUCUUUCAAAAAUGCAAAGCUGAUAAUGUUACUCCCCUGCUGUAAACCUUCCAGCGGUUUCCUAUUGCCUUCAGAAUAAAAUACGAAUCAUCUGGCCUCCAUCUAUCUCUCCAGGCUCAUCCUCUCUCAAUUUUCCAUAUCCUUCAGGCUGAGCUCUGAAACUUCUCCUGGCAGUUCAAGAGAGCGAUGGAGGGAAUGCUGGGGCACAUCUAAAUAAAGCCUCCAAGUGGGAGUUCCUGCUCAGCUAUGCAUGAGCUCUUUGUGACUUCAUCUCCCAGCCUACAACUUGUGAAAUAAGCACGACUUCACUCAGAGCACAGCCAGAAACAUACAAACUUUCCAAAAAUAUUUGAAUGUUGACAGCAGA